rnacentral:rRNA from 1 species
CGGCUUGGUAAGUCUUUGGGAAUCCAGCGGCUUAAUCGUUGGGCGUCCAUUAGAUACUGCCUUGCUUGGGACUGGGAGAGGUAGGAGGUACUCAAGGGGUAGGAGUGAAAUCCUGUAAUCCUUUGGGGACCACCGGUGGCGAAGGCGUCCUACCAGAACAGGUCCGACGGUGAGGGACGAAAGCUAGGGGCACGAACCGGAUUAGAUGCCCGGGUAGUCCUAGCCGUAAACGAUGCUCGCUAGGUGUCACGGUAGUCGUGAACUGCCGUGGUGCCGCAGGGAAGCCGUGAAGCGAGCCACUUGGGAA